GAUGCGCAACAUCAAACACAACAUCGAAAGAGGCUGAAAAAUCGCUGUCGCGACGAAUAUUUUGUUGAUACUUCGGUCGAGGGAAAUUUGUGCGGUUGAAUUUCGGGUCGUAAUUUGGUGUUUUUCUGACGAAAAUGUAUGUUUUCCGUAACGUGAAGUGAGUGCAAACAGAAAUUGGUGCGCAUUUGGCAGUCUAUCGUCGGGAAAGUGAUUUAAAUUGGAUAACAAUUUGCGGAUUCCCAUCGGCGCUUGUUUGUGCGACACUUUCUCCUGCAACGUAAAAGGACACUACUGAGCUGAACUGAACUUUCAAGGCAUUUUUCCCUAUGCAAUGCAUGCAUUGCGGUGUAACGAUGCAACAACAGCCGGAACAGUGGGAACUGCAGCUGGCGGUACCUUAGCUAGUGGAGGAACGAACACAGGAGGUGGCAUAGCGGGUGGAGGAGGAACAACCUUGGGAGGCACGUCGAUCCUCCAGCUAUCAACGCAACCCCAAGUUCAGCCUCAGCCACAACAACAACCAGCAUCGACGCAGUCGCAAACUUCACAGCUGCCCAAAGGUGGCCCAGUGCGGAUAAAUGGCAUUAAAGGAUACCAGAACAGAACGAACCAUAUCAUCUAUUGUCCGCCAUUGUUGCGCUCCAAAGAUGAUUGCUCGGCAGUUGUCUACUUCGGUGGAGAUGUCCAGGACAUCCCGGAAAAGAUGGAAACCAACAGAGACAAUAAAAACUACAUCAAAUGGAACCUGGAGAACACGGCCUUGCUUCUGAGGGAUUCAUUUCCGCGGGCCCAUAUCGUUGUGGUGCGUCCCAUGCGCAUGGAGUACAGUACGUUCAGUUGCUUCGACAACUUUGUACGGGGCAACAACGCUGGCAUUCCCGAUCACACUCCGAUGCACUUCUCUUUGCAACAUUUGGAGGAAUUGCUAAUCAAUUUAACGAAAAAGUUGACGAAACCAGUUCUGGAACCUGAUCUAUUGCAUAAGCUUAUAGCGGCUACGAAUUCUUCCUUAUGUGAAACAGGUUUAGAAGGAAGUCAAGAAAUGGACGUUGAUGUUCUACAGUCGGACAUUCAAAACAAUACAGCAAAUUCAGCUUCAUCGUCGGUAACGGGUUCCGGGGCUAGCAAUACAGAUAUUAACGAUUUGCUCUGGUGGCGUGAGAGUCUCAAUCUAGACAAAGCAAACCUCGCAUUAAUGGGUUUCAGCAAAGGAUGUGUCGUUCUCAAUCAAUUCAUCUACGAGUUUCAUUACUAUAAGACCCUUACCCCUGACGAUAGCACAAUGAUGCGAUUGGUUUCCCGAAUAAAAGACAUGUACUGGCUGGAUGGUGGCCAUGGCGGCGGCAAGAACACUUGGAUUACCUCGCGAAGUCUCCUAGAGACGCUCUGUCGGUUAGGUAUCAACGUUCACGUGCAUGUUACGCCAUAUCAGAUCCAGGACGAUCACCGUCCUUGGAUACGCAAGGAGGAGAAAGCUUUCACGGAUUUGCUCAAACGCCUGGGUGCUUGUUUCGAUCGACACUUGUAUCCAAGUGAAGCCAACUCAACAAAUCUGUUCACCCACUUCGAAGUACUCAAUCGUUUCCGGCAAUACCAGAUCAACGUUUUCGCACAACAACACUUGCAACAGCAACAACAGCAACUAACCGCAACUAACUUAUCUACCGCGUUGGAAGAUACUGUCCAACUCCAACAGCAGCAACUACAAUCGCAAUCAGAAUUACAUCCAACAGAAUCCGGUGAAACGGUUACCUCUGGUGUAGAGCAAAUGAUUACCGAUACCGAUCCAGAUGUGGAUGACGAGAAAUUAGCUGCUGCCGUCGAAGACGAUGAAGACGAUGAAAGUGGUACCAAGUAAUCGCGUGACGUAUAACUAAUCACCAAUUCAGCCAGCGAAUUUACAGUUUCUCUUGCGAUAAGUUUUCGCAAAACCAGUGAUGAAUGCUUUAUAAAGAAUCGUUUCUCAUUUCGUUGUUUUUGUGAAACGCCGCCGCAUUAUGAUUGUAUGUGAUAUAUAGGUGAAAAUUGUACAGUUUAAGCCUAUAUUAGCAAAACCAAUCAUGCCAUUAUAUUUUGCAUAAAAUUUAUUGCGUGGAAAAAAACAGAUGGAACACAGAAUAAUUAUAUUUCCUUGAUGAUAGUCUUUAUUUUAGAUGAAUAAUAAUUAUUAUUUUGAAAUUGUAGUUCGCAAAUCAGGAUCAUACGAAAAAUUAUAAUAUAUUUUUGUGACUUUCUUUCGAUCGCGUAACGUUUAAGUUUAGCUGGCUAGGCUAGGGAAGGCGUAAGUAUCCGAGUUUUUUCGGAUACUACGGUCAUGACGACAUACUACUACAAUUAUUUCAGAAUAGUCUAAGUGAUAAAACAAAAUCGACACAAAAGUAUUCAAUUUGGAUUGAUAUUUAGGAAUGGAUGGCAGCAAUGCUGUAUUUUUCAGAACAAAAAAAAAAUGAUUAGUACAUCAUUACUAUGCACUAAAUAAUAACUGCUUUUUCGGCAAUCAGUCAUAAGGAAAAUUUUACUCGGAAACAGAGAUCAUAGAUUUUUAACUGUCGGAAAAAAUAAACAAUCAAAAACAAAAAAGUUUUGCUGUUUAGGAUGAAUGGUAAAAAUUCAUGUUUGCUAUGGAAAUAAUGAAUGUAAAAUUGAAGCAAAAAUGAGAGGUUUUCACGUUUGAAUCUAA